rnacentral:tRNA from 1 species
GGGAAUGUGGCUUAGUGGUAGAGCGAUUGCCUAGCAUGCAUGAAGUCCUGGGUUCAAUUCCUCAGUACCA